rnacentral:rRNA from 1 species
CAGCUUGCUGCGGGUACUCGAGUGGCGAACGGGUGAGUAACACGUGGGUGAUCUGCCUUGCACUUCGGGAUAAGCUUGGGAAACUGGGUCUAAUACCGGAUAGGACAGCUGUUUAGUGUCAGUUGUGGAAAGUUUUUUCGGUGCAAGAUGAGCUCGCGGCCUAUCAGCUUGUUGGUGGGGUAAUGGCCUACCAAGGCGUCGACGGGUAGCCGGCCUGAGAGGGUGUACGGCCACAUUGGGACUGAGAUACGGCCCAGACUCCUACGGGAGGCAGCAGUGGGGAAUAUUGCACAAUGGGCGGAAGCCUGAUGCAGCGACGCCGCGUGGGGGACGAAGGCCUUCGGGUUGUAAACUCCUUUCGACAGGGACGAAGCGUAAGUGACGGUACCUGUAUAAGAAGCACCGGCUAACUACGUGCCAGCAGCCGCGGUAAUACGUAGGGUGCGAGCGUUGUCCGGAAUUACUGGGCGUAAAGAGCUCGUAGGUGGUUUGUCGCGUCGUCUGUGAAAUUCCGGGGCUUAACUCCGGGCGUGCAGGCGAUACGGGCUGACUUGAGUGCUGUAGGGGAGACUGGAAUUCCUGGUGUAGCGGUGAAAUGCGCAGAUAUCAGGAGGAACACCGAUGGCGAAGGCAGGUCUCUGGGCAGUAACUGACGCUGAGGAGCGAAAGCAUGGGUAGCGAACAGGAUUAGAUUCCCUGGUAGUCCAUGCCGUAAACGGUGGGCGCUAGGUGUAGGGGGCUUCCACGUCUUCUGUGCCGUAGCUAACGCA